AUUGAACGCUGGCGGAACGCUUUACACAUGCAAGUCGAACGGCAGCACGGGUGCUUGCACCUGGUGGCGAGUGGCGAACGGGUGAGUAACAUAUCGGAACGUACCCAGUAAUGGGGGAUAACUAACCGAAAGGUUAGCUAAUACCGCAUACGCCCUGAGGGGGAAAGCGGGGGAUCGAAAGACCUCGCGUUAUUGGAGCGGCCGAUAUCUGAUUAGCUAGUUGGUGAGGUAAAGGCUCACCAAGGCGACGAUCAGUAGCAGGUCUGAGAGGAUGAUCUGCCACACUGGAACUGAGACACGGUCCAGACUCCUACGGGAGGCAGCAGUGGGGAAUUUUGGACAAUGGGGGAAACCCUGAUCCAGCCAUUCCGCGUGAGUGAAGAAGGCCUUCGGGUUGUAAAGCUCUUUCGGCAGGGAAGAAACGGUUCUGGAUAAUACCCGGAGCUAAUGACGGUACCUGAAGAAGAAGCACCGGCUAACUACGUGCCAGCAGCCGCCGUAA
rnacentral:rRNA from 1 species